rnacentral:rRNA from 1 species
CGGACGGGUGAGUAACGCGUGAGAAUCUGGCUUCAGGUUCGGGACAACCAUUGGAAACGAUGGCUAAUACCGGAUGUGCCGAAAGGUGAAAGAUUAAUUGCCUGAAGAUGAGCUCGCGUCUGAUUAGCUAGUUGGUGGGGUAAAGGCUUACCAAGGCGGCGAUCAGUAACUGGUCUGAGAGGAUGACCAGUCACACUGGGACUGAGACACGGCCCAG